rnacentral:lncRNA from 1 species
GUUUUAUUGCUGGUUUCAAUUGUCUGGAUCGAGCCUUUCCUCCUCUUGAGGCUGGGCAGGGCUGCUCAAACAGCUCCCUGUGCUCUCACCCCCGUGCCUCAUCGUGCUGGGUUUGGGCAUUUCCCCUUUGGAAACGAAUCCUCUGCAGCCUCUCUGAGGGCUGUGCACAACCUGAAGUAAUUGAAUUUGCCUUGGGUUGAACUCUUCUGGCACUCUCUAAAAAUAAACAUUCGAUUUCUUCUCCUUCCCGUGGAGCUGCCUCUGCAGGGAGCAGAACCAAACAAACUGGUGAAAAAUUAAAGAGGGAAACCCAGCAGAAGGGAUACGAGAUGGCAACAGCACAGCCCCGAGACUGUCAGGAGCCUAAACCCACAGCAGCCAGUGGCAAAUAAAUCCAGGGGAUGGCCUUGGGCACCUUUUGCGACAGUCGCGCUUUACAGCGCCUUUUACGACAGUCGAGCUUUACGGCGCCUUUUGCGACAGUCGCGCUUUACGGCACUUUUUACGACAGUAGCGCUUUACGGCACCUUUUACGACAGCUGCGCUUUACGGCCGUCUUUACGACAGUCUUAUGACAGUCGCGCUUUACGGCACCUUUUACGGCGCCUUUUACGGCACCUUUUACGACACAUGGCGGCGCCCAUGCCGACACGUGGUGUCCGGCAAUAUGGCGGCGCCCAUGCCGACACGUGGUUUCCGGCAAGAUGGCGGCCCCCAUGACCGGAUUUUUUUCUCGAUUUUUGCCGGGAUUUUUGCGCUUUCCGCGGGUCCCCGG